UACAGAGGGUGCGAACGUUGUUCGGAAUUACUGGGCGUAAAGCGCGUGUAGGCGGCAGCGUGUGUCGGGCGUGAAAUCCCACGGCUCAACCGUGGAAGUGCACUCGAAACUGCGCAGCUAGAGUCCUGGAGAGGAAGGUGGAAUGCUUGGUGUAGAGGUGAAAUUCGUAGAUAUCAAGCGGAACACCGGUGGCGAAGGCGGCCUUCUGGACCACAACUGACGCUGAGGCGCGAAAGCUAGGGGAGCAAACGGG
rnacentral:rRNA from 1 species